GAUGAACGCUAGCUACAGGCUUAACACAUGCAAGUCGAGGGACCGGCGCACGGGUGAGUAACACGUAUCCAACCUGCCCUUUACUCGGGGAUAGCCUUUCGAAAGAAAGAUUAAUACCCGAUAUAAAGGAUGGGGAUGCGUUCCAUUAGGUUGUUGGUGAGGUAACGGCCCACCAAGCCUUCGAUGGAUAGGGGUUCUGAGGGGAAGGUCCCCCACAUUGGAACUGAUACACGUGCCAAACUCCUACGGGAGGCAGCAGUGGUGAAUAUUGGUCAAUGGGCGUUAGCCUGAACCAGCCAAGUAGCGUGAAGGAUGAAGGCUUAUGGGUCGUAAACUUCUUUUAUAUAAGAAUAUGUAUUAUAUGAAGAAGCACCGGCUAACUCCGUGCCAGCCGCCGCGGUAAUUC
rnacentral:rRNA from 1 species